GAAGCCUGAACCCAGCCCAUGCCGCGUGCAGAUGACGCCCUAUGGGUGUAAACUGCUUUUAUAUAGGAAGAAACUUCCCGACGGUGUCGGGAACUGACGGUACUAUACGAAUAAGGACGGCUAACUCCGUGCCAGCAGCCGCGGUAAUACGGAGGGUCAAGCGUUAUCCGGGAUUCAUUGGGUUUAAAGGGUGCGCAGGCGGACCGAUAAGUCAGUGGUGAAAUCUACAGCUCAACUGUAGAACUGCCAUUGAUACUGUCGAUCUUGAGUACGGUUGAAGUGGGCGGAAUGUAUCAUGUAGCGGUGAAAUGCAUAGAUAUGAUACAGAACUCCGAUAGCGAAGGCAGCUCACUAACCCGUAACUGACGCUCAGGCACGAAAGCGUGGGGAGCAAACAGGAUUAGAUACCCUGGUAGUCCACGCCGUAAACGAUGAUCACUCGUUGUUAGCAAUACACCGUUAGCGACUGAACGAAAGCAUUAAGUGAUCCACCUGGGAAGUACGAUCGCAAGGUUGAAACUCAAAGGAAUUGACGGGGGCCCGCACAAGCGGAGGAGCAUGUGGUUUAAUUCGAUGAUACGCGAGGAACCUUACCUGGGCUUAAAUGUUUAAUGACCGACUGGGAAACCAGUCUUCUCUUCGGAGCAUUUUACAAGGUGCUGCAUGGUUGUCGUCAGCUCGUGCCGUGAGGUGUCGGGUUAAGUCCCAUAACGAGCGCAACCCCUAUUCUUAGUUGCCAUCAGAUAAUGCUGGGGACUCUAAGGAAACUGCCUACGCAAGUAGUGAGGAAGGUGGGGAUGACGUCAAAUCAGCACGGCCCUUAUGUCCAGGGCUACACACGUGCUACAAUGGUCGGUACAGAGGGUCGCUACUUGGUGACAGGAUGCUAAUCUCGAAAACCGAUCUCAGUUCGGAUCGAAGUCUGCAACUCGACUUCGUGAAGCUGGAUUCGCUAGUAAUCGCAUAUCAGCAAUGGUGCGGUGAAUACGUUCCCGGGCCUUGUACACACCGCCCGUCAAGCCAUGGAAGCUGGGGGUACCUGAAGUCUGUGACCGCAAGGAGCGGC
rnacentral:rRNA from 1 species